GCGGCACUAGCUCAUCCGGAUAGAGCAGCUGCCUUCUAAGCAGCAGGUGGGCCGUUCGAGCCGGCCGUGUCGUA
rnacentral:tRNA from 1 species